CAUUCCCACGAUUAAAAUUCCCGUCCUGUUAGCGAAAGCUAGGAUAGCAUAACGAACACGUAAUGGUGAAGUGGUAAAGGCAGACCGUGGCACUUAUAAGUUAUGA
rnacentral:sRNA from 12 species